UGGGGAGACACAAAGAUGGCAGCCAUGGAGCUGACACUGCUGUGGGCUUUUCUUGUAGUUCAUAGGGAGGAUCUCUUUUCUUGCCUUUAGUUGGCUCUAGGGCUCUGCAGAGUAUAUUUCUGUUCUCUUCUUACCUUUAACAAACGUGAAACCUCACUAAUUUUUGCACUUGUCUUGACCAAUUCUUUGUUCAGGACAGAAAAAGCCUAGAAACCUAGAAACCAGACUCCUUUCCUAAGGGUCGGAGGUGAAUGUAAUCACCUACCAGCUGCUAAGGGCCAUUGAAACCAGGCAGAGAUGUGAAUGCAGGCAUCUUCCUCUUCCACAAUCCACAGAUUGAUUAUAAAUUUCACAAUAUCUGAUGCCAGAUGCAGUGGCACAUUCCCGGAGACCAGCCUGGGCUACACAGUGAGUUCAAGACUCCUCUGAACGGCAUGGUCUUCCUCUUGGCCACAGCCUGCAGGGUCGUCUGCUGGGACCUCCCUGAAGAGCAAGUCCGGGCUGGGAAGCCACGGGGAGGUCCCCGGGUGACUCACGCUCCACAGACUCUGGCCUUUAAGAGGGAAAAAUCGCCCGUUUCUCACAGAUGCAGCGUGUCAGAGGCCCUGCUCCCCAGGGCAGUGCAGGGCGGCCACCACAAGGCCUGCACAGCUGGAAGGCGCCACCCUGGGCGCUUCUGCGGCAGAAAAGCAGCCGGAAGACACUGUAUUCAGCCAGCGGCUGGGACCCUGUUGUGCUUGGUGGAGCUGUGCUUUAUUUCUGUUGCCCUUCGGGAAUUCUGUUUAAGAGAAAUAUUUAUAGCUUUAUAAUAAAAAACACUGCUCCUUUUUUUUAAAAA